rnacentral:lncRNA from 1 species
AGAUGCAACAUAAAAAUUUCAGAGACAGAAGAAAUCUUCCUUUGAGGGCAGUGAUACACUUAUGUGAGAUUUUGAAAAGUGAAAAAUCAAAGGUGGAAUUGACCAGUAGAUGUAAAAGUACAACAAAUAAACAAAAAUGGCAAUGUUGAAAGUGAAACUGAAAUUCAACAGAAAUAAAAGAAAUAGCAGACUGGGGGGAUAUUGACUUUGACACCAUGAUGCCAGAGGAACUUAGUGAUGGCAAACUUAUCAAUGUAAAAUGAGGAUAUUGGUUGUCAACUAGGUUGUGUGGUGGUCCUUGAUCUUGUCCAUCAAGUCCUUUUUCCCAAAGGGUAACUGAAGAAGAUCACAUACAUUCCAACUUAAUUGAGUCUGAUAGGUAUUCAUCCAAUGAGCUCCUCUUCAACUGAGGAUUGAAAUGCUGUUUUUCUUCCCUGGUACAAUGUUAAAGCUUUAAACUCUUGUCGAUGAUGUGAUGUUUCAUCUGCAAUGAUCUACACUAGAAAAAUAAAAAUGUAGUUACUGACAAAAAAGCAG